AAGUGCGAUCAUACCAUUACUAAUGCACCAGAUCCUCUCAGAACUCUGCAGUAAAGUGUGCUUGGGAAAAAGUAGUACUAGGAUGGGUGACUUACUAGGAAGUCCUCGUGUUUCACCUC
rfam:Lupinus angustifolius cultivar Tanjil chromosome LG15, whole genome shotgun sequence.